UGGCGGCAUGCCUUACACAUGCAAGUCGAACGGCAGCGCGGGGCAACCUGGCGGCGAGUGGCGAACGGGUGAGUAAUAUAUCGGAACGUGCCCUGGAGUGGGGGAUAACGCAGCGAAAGUUGCGCUAAUACCGCAUACGAUCUAAGGAUGAAAGCGGGGGAUUCGCAAGAACCUCGUGCUCCUGGAGCGGCCGAUAUCUGAUUAGCUAGUUGGUGGGGUAAAGGCCUACCAAGGCAUCGAUCAGUAGCUGGUCUGAGAGGACGACCAGCCACACUGGAACUGAGACACGGUCCAGACUCCUACGGGAGGCAGCAGUGGGGAAUUUUGGACAAUGGGCGAAAGCCUGAUCCAGCAAUGCCGCGUGAGUGAAGAAGGCCUUCGGGUUGUAAAGCUCUUUUGUCAGGGAAGAAACGGUAUGGGCUAAUAUCCCGUACUAAUGACGGUACCUGAAGAAUAAGCACCGGCUAACUACGUGCCAGCAGCCGCGGUAAUACGUAGGGUGCAAGCGUUAAUCGGAAUUACUGGGCGUAAAGCGUGCGCAGGCGGUUUUGUAAGUUUGUCGUGAAAGCCCCGGGCUCAACCUGGGAAUUGCGAUGAAGACUGCAAGGCUUGAAUCUGGCAGAGGGGGGUAGAAUUCCACGUGUAGCAGUGAAAUGCGUAGAGAUGUGGAGGAACACCGAUGGCGAAGGCAGCCCCCUGGGUCAAGAUUGACGCUCAUGCACGAAA
rnacentral:rRNA from 1 species